rnacentral:rRNA from 1 species
AACGAACGCUGGCGGCAGGCUUAACACAUGCAAGUCGAACGCAUCCUUCGGGGUGAGUGGCAGACGGGUGAGUAACGCGUGGGAACGUGCCCUUCAGUUCGGGAUAACCCCGGGAAACUUGGGCUAAUACCGGAUACGUGCGGGAGCAGAAAGAUUUAUCGCUGAAGGAUCGGCCCGCGUCGGAGUAGCUAGUUGGUGGGGUAAUGGCCCACCAAGGCGACGAACAGUAGCUGGUCUGAGAGGAUGAUCAGCCACAUUGGGACUGAGACACGGCCCAAACUCCUACGGGAGGCAGCAGUGGGGAAUAUUGGACAAUGGGCGCAAGCCUGAUCCAGCCAUGCCGCGUGAGUGAUGAAGGCCUUAGGGUUGUAAAGCUCUUUCGUCCGGGACGAUAAUGACGGUACCGGAAGAAGAAGCCCCGGCUAACUUCGUGCCAGCAGCCGCAGUAA